GGAUGGUCUAGGGGGCUUAUCGGCUUACCGAAAUCAGCCAAACUCCGAAUGCUGGCAAGUGUAGCGUGGCAGUGAGACGGCGGGGGAUAAGCUUCGUCGUCGAGAGGGAAACAGCCCAGAUCACCAGCUAAGGUCCCUAAGCGUGUGCUAAGUGGGAAAGGAUGUGGAGUUGCGAAGACAACCAGGAGGUUGGCUUAGAAGCAGCCACCCUUGAAAGAGUGCGUAAUAGCUCACUGGUCAAGUGAUUCCGCGCCGAUAAUGUAGCGGGGCUUAAGUUAUUCGCCGAAGCUGUGGCAACCGUGUUCGGUUGGGUAGGGGAGCGUCGUGUCAGUGGUGAAGCUGCCGGGUGACUGUGUGGUGGAGUUGAUGCGAGUGAGAAUGCAGGCAUGAGUAGCGAAUGACGAGUGAGAACCUCGUCCGCCGGAUGACCAAGGGUUCCUGGGUCAAGCUAAUCUGCCCAGGGUGAGUCGGGACCUAAGGCGAGGCCGACAGGCGUAGUCGAUGGACAACGGGUUGAUAUUCCCGUACCCGCGA
rnacentral:rRNA from 1 species